GCUCGGCAGCAGCGCCGCCAGAUCCAGUUCCAGGUGCCGAACCGAACGCGGAGCCAGGAGACAUCCUCGAAAUGAAACAUCUGCUGCCUGCUAACAGCAUGAUGAAGACUCCAAACUUUCCCAUCAACCACACGCUCUCCUGGAAUACAUCACUCCACCGUUAUCUUCCUCUAUAUUCCAGAACUGAAUUCUCAUGACCUUUAACCUCCAGUCACUUCCCCAAAUUGGAAUGUGUAGGGCAGCAGUGAACUGCAUAACCGGACCUAACAUGCUUACGAAAACGUCUCCCACUUUUUCAUUUUCAACCUCUCCAUUACAAGUAUUCCCAUCCUUAAGCUUGGAUAUAGCUCUAUUUCAUUCAUAUAUCCAAUCUGAGAUCCUCUUUCAUUAUUAGGUGAGUUAAAUCAUUUAUAUUCAGUGUGAGCUUUUGGCCUUCUCUCUAAAGCAGUGAGUCUUUUUUUUUUUUUUUUUUUUUUUUUUUUAAUGGGACAAAGUCUCGCUCUGUUGCUCAGGCUGGAGUACAGUGGGGCGCGGUCUUGGCUCACUGCAACCUCCACCUCCUGGGUUCAAGUGAUUCUCCUGCAUCAGCCUCCCGAGUAGCUGGGAUUACAGGCAUGCACCACCACACCUGGCUAAUUUUUGUAUUUUUAGUAGAGACGGGGUUUCACCAUGUUGGCCAGGCUGGUCUCCAACUCCUGACCUCAGGUGAUCUGCCCGCCUCAGUCUCCCAAAGUGCUGAGAUUACAGGUGUGAGCCACCAUGCCAGGCUGAGCCGAGAGUCUAGCAGUGAGUCUUAACAGGGGGUGGUCUUGCCCCCCACGGGACAUUCAGGAAUAUCUGUAGACGUUUGUUUUGAUUUUCACAAUGAGGUGCUAUCAGCAUCUAGUUUGUAGAAGCCAGAGAUGCUGCUAAACAUCCUACAAUGCACAGUCUGCUCCACCCACCACGAAGGAGUUGUUAUAGAUGUUCAAGAGUCAUAUAUUCUAUUUCUUAAUAAUUAUCUCCUAGAGAUGCAAUCGUUGACAUUUCUGGGCUGUGAAUCACUGGCCCAGUACACACGCUAUAAAUCACCUCCAUAGAACACCCUGUUUUCUGACUUCCAAAGGCUCCUAAUCACUGCUUCACACGCUCAGCAACACUGACCCCAGGAUCUGGUGUUGAUUAACAAACACUGAUCCAUAAUCACUUCCAUCUACUGUCCCCCCAAAACUCACUUACUUCAUCCCCAAACCCCUUAAUUACAAACACUUAAUCACUAAGAAGCAUAGAUUUCAUAAGACUAAGGCCCCACCCAGACCACAUGGAACAAAAGCUACCCCACAGGCACCAGUCAUAUGGCCUCUAACCACUGACCCCUAGAGCACCCAUAUCCCAGAAGCCCACCAGUCACUAUCUUGUAGCUUGGAAGUUGUCACUCCCAUCCUCACAAGAAAAAGAGCUGAACAAACGGAAACAAAACAACUCUUCCCAGAUUUGUCAGAGAAUUGAGGGCACAGGGCAAACUGAUGCCCUGAAAAAGUGGAAAGACAGCAAUACAGAGAAUCACAGCUUAUCAGGAGCAGGCAUGAGUAGGAAAAGGUAAACCAACAGAUCAACUAUUGGAGUCUGAGCUGCUCUCAACUACUGGACAUGAAGUUCCUCUGUCCCCUCAUCCCUGCCAAAACAUGGCAUGAUCCAGCUCUCCAAUUUAUGGCAGGUGUAAUGGGGCAGGUGUAAAUAAGUUGAUUACAUCAUGUUUCCUUUUAUUUAUUUAUUUUUUUGAGACGGAGUCUUGCUCUGUUGCCCAGGCUGCAGUGCAGUGGCGCAAUCUCGGCUCACUGCAACCUCCACCUCCCUGGUUCAAGGGAUUCUUCUGCCUCAGCCUCCCAAGUAGCUGGGAUUACAGGCACCCACCACCAUGCCCGGCUAAUUUUUAUAUUUUUAGUAGAGACAGGGUUUCACCAUGUUGGCCAGGCUGGUCUCGAACUCCUGACCUUAGGUGAUCCGCCCGCCUCCCAGGCCCGGUCCAGUGUUUAUCUUUUUGUGACUGAUUUAUUUCACUUAGCAUAAUGUCCUCAAGGUUGAUCCAUGUUGUAGCAUGCAUCAGAAUAGCUCCUUUUUAAGGCUGAAGAAUAUUCCAUUGUAUGGAUAAACCAUUUUUUAUUUAUCUAUUCAUCCAUUGAUGGACAUUGCUUCCAUCUCAUGGCUAUUGUGGAUAAUGCUGCUAUAAGGCUGGGUGCACUGGCUCAUGCCUGUAAUCCUAGUAGUUUGGGAGACCAAGGCAGGAGGAUUGCUUGAGGCCAGGAGUUUGAGACCCGCCCGGGCAACAUAGCGAGACUCAGUCUCUAUGAAAAAUGAAAGAAUUAGUCAAGCGCACUGGUGCAUGCCUGUGGUCCCAGCUACUAGGGAAGCUGAGGUUGGAGGAUUGCUUGAGCCUGGGAGUUUGAGGCUGCAACGAGCCAUGAUCAUGCUAUUGUACUUCAGCCUGGGAAAAAAAACUGCGGCUAUGAACAUGAGUGUGCAAAUAUCUCUUCAAGACUCGGCUUUCAAUGUUUUUGAUAUAUGCUCAGAGGUGAAAUUGAUGAAUUAUAUUGUAGAUCUAUUUUUAUUUUUUUGAGGAAGCUCCAAACUGUUUCCUAUCAGUUGCACAAUUUUACAGUCCCACCAAAAGUGCACCAGAGUUCAAAUUUCUCCACAUUCUCACCAACACUUGUUAUUUUCUGUGGCUUGUCUCCUGCCCCUCCGCAAGCAACAGGAAAUACUAGAGACAGAGGCCCAGCCAUUGACUAGCACCUUAGUCAAUGCCAGGCCCUGACUCAUCCCUCCAUUUAUUCCAGUCACAGUGACAAGAUGAAGGAGAAAGGACACAUAGGUGUGGAGAACACAGGAAGAGAGGUCCUGACUGGGGAGGACAGUGAGGGGAAUUGAAUUGGGGGAGCUUCCAUUUCUCACCUCUACUCUCUCAGUUUCACUGUGAGACAGAGUAAAACCCUGUCUUAAAAACAAAACAAAACAAAAACAAACAAACAAACAAAAAACAGGCGGGGGCGGGCAUGAUGGCUCAUGCCUGUAAUCCCAGAACUUUGGGAGGCCUAGCUGGAAGGAUCACUUGAGCCUAGGAGUUCAAAGCCAGCCUGGGUAACAUAGUGACACCCUGUCUCUACAAAGAAUUAAAAAAAUUAUCCGAGUGUGGUAGCGUGCACCUGUGGUCCCAGCUACUCAGGAGGCUGAGGCGGGAGGAUCGCUUGAGCCCAGGAGGUCAAUGCUGCAGUGAGCUGUGAUUGUGCCACUGCACUCCAUCCUGAGCAACAGAGCAAGGCCUUGUCUCAAAUAAAUAAAUAAAUAAAAAUUAAAAGAGCUCAAAUAAACUGAGACAGAGGUUGAAAAAUGGUUACAAUGGGUAGGGGUUGGAGGGGAGAUGAAGGUCUGAGGAUACAAAAUAGCAGAUACCUACGAUGAACAAGUCUGGAGGCCAAUGUACAACAUGAGGACUAAAGUUGAUACAAUUGUAUUAGGGAUUUUUGCUAAAUAAGUGGAUUUCAGCUGCUCUCCUCACAGAAAGUAACUGUGAGAUGAUAGAUACUAUGCUAAUCUGCUUCGCUAUAGUAAUCAUUGUACUAUCUACAUGUAUCUAGUCAUGUACGUAUCCCAUGACAUUAUGUUGCAAACCUCAACUAUACACAAUAGCAUUUAUUUAAAAAUAAAAUAAAAAUAGGCUGGGCGCUGUGGCUCAUGCCUGUAAUUCCACCACUUUGGGAGGUUGAGGUGGACAGAUCACUUAAGGCCAGGAGUUCGAGACCAGCCUGGCCAACAUGGUGAAACCCCAUCUCUACUAAAAAUACAAAAAUCAGCUGGGCGUGGUGGCGGGCGCCUGUAAUCCCAGCUACUUGGGAGGCUGAGGCAGGAGAAUUGCUUGAGCCCAGAAAGCAGAGGUUGCAGUGAACCAAGAUGGUGCCACUGCACUCCAGCCUGGAUGACAAAGUAAGACUCU
rnacentral:lncRNA from 10 species